rnacentral:rRNA from 1 species
UACGUAUGGUGCAAGCGUUAUCCGGAUUUACUGGGUGUAAAGGGAGCGUACGGCUUAGCAAGUCUGAUGUGAAAGCUAUGGGCUCAACCCAUAAACUGCAUUGGAAACUGUUCAGCUGGAGUGUCGGAGAGGUAAGCGGAAUUCCUAGUGUAGCGGUGAAAUGCGUUGAUAUCCCGCAGAACACCGGAGGCGAAGGCGGAUCCCUUGCACGGAACUGACGCUGAGGCGCGAAAGUCGGGGGAGCAAACAG